CGCUAGCUACAGGCUUAACACAUGCAAGUCGAGGGGUAGCAGGGUAGCAAUACCGCUGACGACCGGCGCACGGGUGAGUAACACGUAUCCAACCUUCCCAUCACUCGGGGAUAGCCUUUCGAAAGAAAGAUUAAUACCCGAUAGUACUUUUUUGAGGCAUCUUAAGAAAGUUAAAGAUUAAUUGGUGAUGGAUGGGGAUGCGUUCCAUUAGAUUGUUGGUGAGGUAACGGCUCACCAAGUCUUCGAUGGAUAGGGGUUCUGAGAGGAAGGUCCCCCACAUUGGUACUGAGACACGGACCAAACUCCUACGGGAGGCAGCAGUGAGGAAUAUUGGUCAAUGGGCGAGAGCCUGAACCAGCCAAGUAGCGUGAAGGAUGACGG
rnacentral:rRNA from 1 species